rnacentral:rRNA from 1 species
GAUGAACGCUAGCUACAGGCUUAACACAUGCAAGUCGAGGGGAAACGACAUUGGAAGCUUGCUUCCGAUGGGCGUCGACCGGCGCACGGGUGAGUAACGCGUAUCCAACCUGCCCACCACUUGGGGAUAACCUUGCGAAAGUAAGACUAAUACCCAAUGAUAUCCCACGAAGGCAUCGGAAUGGGAUUAAAGAUUUAUCGGUGAUGGAUGGGGAUGCGUCUGAUUAGCUUGUUGGCGGGGUAACGGCCCACCAAGGCAACGAUCAGUAGGGGUUCUGAGAGGAAGGUCCCCCACAUUGGAACUGAGACACGGUCCAAACUCCUACGGGAGGCAGCAGUGAGGAAUAUUGGUCAAUGGGCGAGAGCCUGAACCAGCCAAGUAGCGUGCAGGACGACGGCCCUAUGGGUUGUAAACUGCUUUUAUAAGGGAAUAAAGUGGGUCUCGUGAGACUUUUUGCAUGUACCUUAUGAAUAAGGACCGGCUAAUUCCGUG